rnacentral:rRNA from 1 species
AGCGAACGCUGGCGGCAGGCUUAACACAUGCAAGUCGAGCGGGCACUUUCGGGUGUCAGCGGCGGACGGGUGAGUAACGCGUGGGAACGUGCCCUCUGGUUCGGAAUAACUCAGGGAAACUUGAGCUAAUACCGGAUACGCCCUUUUGGGGAAAGGCUUGCUGCCGGAGGAUCGGCCCGCGUCUGAUUAGCUAGUUGGUGAGGUAACGGCUCACCAAGGCGACGAUCAGUAGCUGGUCUGAGAGGAUGAUCAGCCACACUGGGACUGAGACACGGCCCCGACUCCUACGGGAGGCAGCAGUGGGGAAUAUUGGACAAUGGGCGCAAGCCUGAUCCAGCCAUGCCGCGUGAGUGAUGAAGGUCUUAGGGUUGUAAAGCUCUUUUAUCCGGGACGAUAAUGACGGUACCGGAGGAAUAAGCCCCGGCUAACUUCGUG